rnacentral:lncRNA from 1 species
CACCCUCUCCUCUUGGUGCCCAAGUCCUGAGCCCACUGCUGUAGGGGUCCUGGAGGUGGUGUUCUUGCCGACGGCCUUUGGGGGCCAUUGUCCACCCAGUACACGGAGGCCUGGAGGCAGCCCUCACUUCCCCUGCUUGAGACACUGACAGCUCACGGCCUGUGGAGGCCAGCAGGAGCGGCCCAAGCAGGCUGGGGAGGGCUGGGGGCCCAUGCAGGCCCCAGGCUCAGAGAGAAGUGACACGCCCAGGAGCUGGAGGGUGGCACCCAUGCUCAGAGCAGGACAGCAAGGCGGGCAGCAGGGCUGGCAGGCUUAGGGCCACCAUGAGACCUGGGCCACGACACCAGGGACUCCUGGGCAAACGGGACACUUGCUGGGUUGACCAGCACAGAGCCCAUGAUGACCAGCACAGGGCGCAGAGGUGGGGAGUCCCUUGCUCUGUGCACAGACAGGACAGCAGGAAGUAUUUUGGGGGAAGGCCAUGUCUGGGACCCGGCCUAGAGGUCUGCGGGUGCUGUGGGUGUGUCUGGCUGCUGCAUGGUGGAGGGGCAGUGAGCGAAGGGGUGCCCAGCAGGAAUCACUGGGCACCAGGCAGAAACUUGGCUGGAGGCAGGACUGAGACCUCAGGGUCUGUGCCCAGGGCAGCAGCAGGGUGGACAGAGCCCGGGGGUACAGAUGGGAUGGCUGUGAGGAGCACCCUGUAAGGAGCCCUCAGGGUGGGGCAGCCCCAGGAAGCUGACCUCAGACCGACAGAGGGACUGGCAUCCUUCUGUGUGUGGGUGAAGAGGCCACAGCUCCCAUCACUGGGCUCAGACAGGUCUGACCAGUCUUUAAUGGGCAGGCAGGUGCCCGAGGCAGCCUCCAGCAUGAGGCGGGACAGGCAUUGCCCGGAGGUCCUCUGGGUGGGGAGGGCAUGCUCGGUGCUUGCUGGCGCCCGCCUCUCCCGCAGCCUUCAGCUCCGUCACCACCUCCGCGUGUCUCCACCACCUGCAUGGCUGCCCAUUCACUGACACAAUGUAGUCGCCCUCCUUC